UUUAACCAUACCUCAUGUCCUGGCCAAGGGGAUAUCAUAGUAAAAUGGAAUCCAACCAACCUCCGCUAUAAAAUUAGUUCAGCCGCAUUGACAUUGGUCAUGCUGAGAUCAUAGCUCCAGCCUUCCAUCCCAUGUUGUCACCCUCUUCUCAUUCUUCCCCGAUCUGGCCUUCCUCCUCCGUUCCUCUCUCUCUCUUGGGUGAAUCAAUCGUCAUGUUCUUUGGAGUAAGCGAUCUGAUAUCCCUGAAUCAAAUCUCUCUCUCUCUCUCUCUCUCUCUCUCUCUCUCUCUCUCUCUCACUCUUCUACUCUCUUUCCAUCUAUAUUUUUUGUCCCAGUGAUUUCUGGACGCAGCGGUUUAUCGAUCUCUUCCUGGCCUUGUGUGUGUCGGUGGUCUGGUGGGU
rnacentral:lncRNA from 1 species